rnacentral:lncRNA from 1 species
AACAAACUGCCCGAGUUCCUCUCCGGUAAUGCGGACAAAGGACAGAUAAAUGCUUGUCAAGCUUCUAUUGCAACCAAGACUUGCGGUAGGAUGAAAUGCGCAUGAAGUAAGGCGAAGAGAUUCCAGUGUUGCUCCUCCUAUCUCAUUAGAUAAAAGAAAAAUCGGGAAGUUAUAGUCUGCCCUCUUAUUAAAUACAGCCAUCUCCAAUGCAAGCUCUUCAAUCCCAGGUUUGACAGCAAUUCGAAGCCAUUUAUCAAAAUAUGAUGCAUCAAUAUUUGCACAAGGGUACAGUUGAAGUAUGAGCACCUUCAUCCCAAAGCCAGAAUGGUUUUCAAGAACAUGGUUAAUUUUAUUGACGAAAUGGCUUUCUAUUUUAUCUUGUCUAUAUUGUUCAUCUUCCAAAGCUCGUGUGUCCUCAUCCAAAUGCAUGCUGAGCUUAUCAUAACCUACGGUUUUGUUAUUGAAUAAAAGCCUGGGAUACCGUCUCCAGGAACGUAGAUAUCGACGAGAGACACAGGCAGCACGGGCAGCAUCUUCAAUAGGUAAGUAGGAAAAUAAGUUAUCAACAAUAUCCUGCAAAAACCAUUAUCAAGAGAGUUGGACAUGCAAGACUGCUACCAGAACUACAAUAUAGUGUAUUCGACCAUACCUCUGGAAGCCUGUCAAGCAUGAAAUGUCCCAUCACUUGCAAACAUUGCUCAUCUUGUGAGGUGUGACCUUGCAAACUAGCUGAUGAAGGCUCUGAUCCAGAGCCCAGAAUGAAGUAAGGUAACAAGUAAUAGCAGAAAUAGGAGGCAGCUAACUUUUUGCCACUUAGAAAAAAAAAACUCUUACCGAAAGAACUUUGUGUGCAUUAUUAUGGACAUAUUUAUUAUCCUGUCUAAAAAAGUUUAUUAAUAUACAUACACGAUAGCUUCAGAAUCCUCAAAAUAUUUUUUGACAGCUACAAUGUAGUAAUUGUUACAGGACUUAGCACAGAAGCAUCAAACAAAUUAUUCUAUGUAUAAUUACAAUCAGACACAAAAUCUUCAUUUAGUUACUCAUGUUUUUGCUCAAUUAUUCUGGCGCUUUUCCUUUAAGCAGAAAGGAAAAGGAGCCUUAGAUAGCCAUCCCAUCUUCUAGACAGACUCGAGAUCAGGAACCCUAGGCUGCCCGUGUAGGAUCGAGGUGCGGAGGAGUACCUGGCUGCAGCUCCCGCUUUCGACAUGUUCCGGUGUACAUCUCCGCGCUCUACCUUGUCGACGCCGACGCGAAGGAAACCGCUCCUCGGUUAAGGGGCUCCCGCGGCUCCUCCUCCUCGUUUCCCACCCGUGCCCUCUGGGUAGGGCCCACAGGCAGGCGGAGGCGGCGGGAGGCGGGGGCGGAGGCGGCGGGAGGCGGACGACGGCGGGAGGUGGGGGCCAGCCGCGGGAGGCGGGGGCGGGCCGGCGGCGGGAGACCGGGAGGCGGGCGGCGGGGGCCGGGGUUGAGCCGGCGGUGGGGGGCCGGAUAAUGAUGGAAGAGAAAAGAAAGAAGAAAAAUAAAUAGGAAGGAAGGAAAAUAAAAAAGAAAAGGAAAGGGUACUAGGGGUAUUCAUCUUAUCUGAGAGAUCGGAGGAGAGGCGGGGAGUCGAGGAACCCCUGUUGGAGUCGGGCAGGCCUUGGUUGGUGUUGAUACGGGCUUCUUUUUUUAUUUUUUGACGCCGUGUUGAUAUGUGUUUGGUUUGUUGGACACCGAAGAAAAUUGCCUUGCCGUCCGUCGGACGACGGGCCAACAAUGCAAAGUGAAUCGGGCAGGCAGGGGACAUGUUGGUCCAGCAAAUGGUGGAUCAGCCCAGUAAGUAGUGGGAGAGCUAACCUUGUUUUUUUUAGCUUAGCUAUUUUUUUUUUGUUAGCACUGCAGUCAAAUUUCUUGAAGAGUGACUACACAUAUCGAUCCGUUAAUUUCUUGUUGUAUUUUAGCCAAUUUUAUGUCCAAUUGAAUUGUGCCACUUCGUGUACCUAAAAUAGAAAAGGUGGGCGAGGAAGGAAAAAAAGAACCAAGAUCUCAGUAUACUCAGAUCUCAGUAUACUCCUCGUAAUUCUACCGGGCAGCAUUUUCUGGUCUUCCUCAGUACAGUACAUAUAAUUUUAAGGAAAUACAAAACCGAAUAAUGGCACAACAGACCCAAGACAAAAACUGACUAACUCGCUCCCAUAUGUGAACUACACACACCUCGAGCGAGCGACCAAGCUUUUUUUUUCUUUCUAAGGGCAGAUAAGAAAGAACAGGAACCAAAGGACUGUGCUCAACUACUGCCUAAGUCCAUCUUUAUUUUGCACAACAUGGUUGCACGUUCUCUAAGUAUCCAAUGAACUCAUCAUAAUUCAAGCUAGAGAAACAAAGUGUGUGAUUUGCACUUUCAAGAAAAAUAAUCCGAUGAAUCAAUGGCGUGAUCACAAAGGGUCUUCGAAUAUGCAGCAUUAGCUAGUGUAGCACCAUAUCUGCAUAUAAUUAGUUGGAUUUUUUUCCAUCCUUUUCCACCAUAUUAGAGGAAUAGAGGCUCAGACCCUUUUGCAAGCUAGCAUCGCCAUUGUUGUUUCAUUGCAACAAUAAGUCAUUUAUAUGUAUUUUGUUAUCCUCUAUUAUGCUGCUCAUCAAAAUGAUGUUAGACAUUGAUCUCUUAAUAUUACCAGCUAAGUGCAUCAUAUGAUAGGAGGUACUCCCCAUUCUUAAAAAUAUGACGUUUAUCACAAGCUAAUUGGUUUAAAAAUGUACUAAUUGGUUUGUCCUAAAUGGCUAAACAUCACAUAUUUAAGGCUAGAGUACCAGUACAUAAGCCAUUUCUACAGUGCGCGUACUCUAUUUCUACUUGCGGUCAGUAGCGAAGUCCAAAUCAUGGGCUAGUAUCACACGGGAAAAAAAAUUGUACUGGUGGAGGGACUUCAUAUUUUUCCAUCUAAUUAAUUGAUGUCAUAUUAAAAAUUACUUCAAACGUUGUUCACUUUAUUUCAUUGGCGUAGUGCUGCCAGCUCAAAUGUAGUCUAAUUCUCCAGCUUAAUAUAUAAAGGGCCAAUUCCUUGCACAUCCUUACACUGUCAGCUCAUCUCCUGAUAAUUCCAUGUUAGAGCUACUUCCAACGCAAGGAUCAAUCUCAAUACAGGACUUCAAAUAGAUCAACAAUUCAGCAAUAGACAGUUGUAUUAUACCUAACAGCACAGCUUAAGCCAGUGUACACAUUUUUUAUACAGAACUGAACAAAAACGUCAUAACACAAGCCAAAUGGUAGUGUCAUUACACUAUGGGAUCUUAAACACUGGAUCCAGAUAACAUAUUAAUAUACGACAAAUCUUGGAAGAUCGUCCUUAGCACCCACAUUGGCAGCACGGUUCCAAUGCCUUGAAAUUUGUUGAUGAGGGCACAAUCCCCUCAAUGCAUCUGUUCACAGCCUCAAGAGCUCUCUGUGCCUCCAUCAGCCCUUCCUUCGACAUAAGCUAGCACUUGUCCGUCUUUGUAGUCCUCCUGCCACAACCACAGGCUGUGUCCAGUGUCAUGCACACAAGUGCUGAUGCAUUGCGAACAAUAUAAUGUGGCUUGUUAAUUCAAUCAGGCUCUUUGCAGAGCUAAAUCCAGUCCUUAUCACGUUCUUCAGAUUGUAAUGCAAGCAUUCUGGUAUCUGCCUCAAAUGCAAUUGAUCCUUGUCAAGAUUUUUAAGAACUGAAUCACUUCUCAGCAAAUUACUGGUUUCUACCUGCAUUAGAUCAACAUCAAAACCAUUAUUCACCAGACUUAAUAAAAGAAAAUCAAGAGUAUCUUUACCACGUGGAAUCAAUAAUAUUCCCACAAGCAUGAAAAAUCAAGCACAAUUUAUCCGUCAAAGUCGCAUCAAAUAACUUGCUGCAUUGAGCGAAGGUUAAACUGCAAGCUAGUGUCUUGGUACAAUGGCUUUAAAAUCGAUCUUGACUGAACAGACAAAAAACAACACUGCCUGCUAGUUUGUGUUAAACAAGACAGAAUUAGACAAGUAAGACCCAGCUAUCACUAUAGUCAUCAUGACAAGUGCACAGGGUCCCCAAAUAUACUUUUAAAGGUUUCACUGAGAUGGCACUGAGAGUGCAACUUACACGCAGCAUGAAAGUCUCCAAGGCAGGAGAGGCUUCCAGGAAAGAAACCAAACUUAAGUAAUCCUGGCGGUAGAGUUGUACAUCCACAAGAGAAAUGUCCAAGUACUUGAGAAGGAGGAACUUGCUAGACAUUAUUGGAGUCUUGACCUUCCCAAGAAAGAGACCAAAAGAACUAAUCAAGCUAAAGGCAUGCAUGCAUAUCGUCACUGGCCUAUAGAUCAUAAUUUCAAAUCAACUGAAUGGCAUAAACAUAGCACAUACCUCACAAAUCGAUUCCACGAUAAGUCUUUCAACUGCUGGCAUAAAGCAAGGAAUCUCGACACGAGCAUGGCAGAGUGUGUUUGGUUUACUACCUAUCAUCCGUAUGUGUUUGACUUCUGCUCCUAGAGAAAUUUGCAUUAGGUUAUCCCCACAGUCAAAAGUGGAGAGCUUUGGAGCCCUAAUCUCUAUUGGUUGCAGCAUUUUACAUUGUGUCACAUGGAAAUGAUUAAGGUGAUGCAACACACAUGGUGCUUUGAAGCAAAUUAAAUGAUUGCACUUAUAAAUUGACAACCGUGCUAAAGCGAUACAAUUGGAAACAAACUGCCCGAGUUCCUCUCCGGUAACGCGGACAAAGGACAGAUAAACGCUUGUCAAGCUUCUAUUGCAACCAAGACUUGCGGUAGGAUGAAAUGCGCAUGAAGUAAGGCGAAGAGAUUCCAGUGUUGCUCCUCCUAUCUCAUUAGAUAAAAGAAAAAUCGGGAAGUUAUAGUCUGCCCUCUUAUUCAAUACAGCCAUCUCCAAUGCAAGCUCUUCAAUCCCAGGUUUGACAGCAAUUCGAAGCCAUUUAUCAAAAUAUGAUGCAUCAAUAUUUGCACAAGGGUACAGUUGAAGUAUGAGCGCCUUCAUCCCAGAGCCAGAAUGGUUUUCAAGAACAUGGUUAAUUUUAUUGACGAAAUGGCUUUCUAUUUUAUCUUGUCUAUAUUGCUCAUCUUCCAAAGCUCGUGUGUCCUCAUCCAAAUGCAUGCUGAGCUUAUCAUAACCUACGGUUUUGUUAUUGAAUAAAAGC